GCCUCUUGCCCAUCCAACUGCUCUCAGCCUCUUGCCCAUCCAACUGCUCUCAGCCUCUUGCCCAUCCAACUGCUCUCAGCCUCUUGCCCAUCCAACUGCUCUCAGCCUCUUGCCCAUACAACAGCUCUCAGCCUCUUGUCCAUCCAACAUCUCUGUCUCUUGCCCAUCCAACUGCUCUCAGCCUCUUGUCCAUCAUCUCUCAGCCUCUUGCCUUGAUCUGUUUGGCCCUCCUCACAUCAUCUCAAUACAUUCAGUAAGUGGAACUGUUAGUUACUUGACCACAGCUAAAUGGUUAACUGCAAACAGUUACAUGUCACAAGUUAGCCUCAUGUAGGCCACUAAGAAUGAUUCAAUAAGAAUCUGUAUAUUUAGCCUUUUUUCUAUGUUUAUUUUGAGUUGUAUUUAUAAUUAGCAGUAGACAAACAGCUGUCUUACAAACACACCUUUUCCCCUGCUUGCAGCCGCACCGUCCACCAAAGCCUGUUCUCCUGAGCUGCCCUGUGAUCUGCCAUUCCAAAAUACAGUGAGCAGUUACCUGCAAAUAAUUGUAUCAAUCCACACUGUCUUGUCUUUGGAUCUCUUAACCUGCCCCAGGUAGUAUAAUCAAGUCUACCCAACUGAUUUACUGAAUGAAAUAUUUUUGUUUGUUUUUUUGUAUUAGAUAUGUACCUUGUUGUUCUAUUUGUGAAGGAAAACACAACUGGACCAGUGGCACAGGAGUGGUUUAAAGAUGGGCUGGAAUGGUGGCCUCCUUAUUGUGAUCAACAACAUGAAUGAAUGAUUGUUCACUUCAAGCCACAAGACCCAGUUGGAGACCAGAGAUGGAGACAAGAGCAGCGUCAGUCGGGCAUCAAGGGCCGACCUUUUCAGAAUGCUACCUGCUGCCCCAUGAGGAAGACUCUCUUGAAUGUCACCCAACGGCUUAUCCCAUCACAUUGCACUGGUAUAUUUGGCCUCAUCUUUCUAUUGAAAUCAGAAAACUGCUUUGUAUUAGUACUAAUGGAUCAACCUUGAAAAGCUGGGGGAGCUUCAGCUCAAGGUGGCGCAUCUGA
rnacentral:lncRNA from 13 species